UGUAGGUGGAAGCAGCGGUGGAGGAGGAGGAUGAGGUAACCAACACUGUUUUUAUAUAUAUAUAGAUAUAUAUAUUAUUUUUUUUAUUUUUUUAAUUGGGGUAGCCCCCAAAAUAUUGAGACAUAUAAAAAAAAGACAACUCUGUUCCGCAGAGUAGCUGUUGACAUUAUAGUUGCGCAGGCACUUUGUUGACUCUAGAGAACCUUGGGGUAAUCGAACAUCCCCGUGACGGCGACUUUGCUUUUGGAUGUCAUCCAUAUCAACUUUCAAUGCCAGUUUCUGCGCCUACCAUGGUGACCACGGGUAACGGGGAAUCAAGGUUACAUUCCGUACAGGGACCCUGACAAACGGCUACCACAUGCAAUGAAGGCAGCA